rnacentral:rRNA from 1 species
UACAGAGGUCUCAAGCGUUGUUCGGAUUCAUUGGGCGUAAAGGGCGCGUAGGCUGCUGGGCAAGUCGGGUGUGAAAUCUCAGAGCUCAACUCUGAAACUGCACUCGAUACUGCUUUGCUUGAGGACUGGAGAGGAGAUUGGAAUUCACGGUGUAGCAGUGAAAUGCGUAGAUAUCGUGAGGAAGACCAGUGGCGAAGGCGGAUCUCUGGACAGUUCCUGACGCUGAGGCGCGAAGGCCAGGGGAGCAAACGGG